GACGAACCGUGCGAACGUUGUUCGGAAUCACUGGGCUUAAAGGGUGCGUAGGCGGGCCAUCAAGUCCGGGGUGAAAUCCUCCAGCUUAACUGGAGAAUGGCCUUGGAUACUGGUGGCCUCGAGGGAGGUAGGGGAGCGCGGAACUGAUGGUGGAGCGGUGAAAUGUGUUGAUAUCAUCAGGAACUCCGGUGGCGAAAGCGGCGCUCUGGACCUCAUCUGACGCUGAGGCACGAAAGCUAGGGGAGAGAACGGG
rnacentral:rRNA from 1 species